AUGGCAGUAAUACAUAAAAAGAAGGUGAUUUAUUUACCCUCCUUUUCCCCAGGGGCACAGGACAACGCGUGGGCUGGAGAACUUUGCCUGCUGCUUCUGCCUGAUGAAGCUGAAGUGUGUGGAGAGCUGACAAGUGACCACUGCAUGCGCAGGGAAACUUCAAAUGAAUCUCAAAAGGAAGUAUUUGUGCAAGAAUGAAAGGGCAUCCCAGGCUUCUGCUGAGUAAUGGAUGUGAUAAUAAUUGUAGGGGAAAAAGAUCCAAACAGUUGUGUUUUUUUUUUCUUUCUGCAGCCAGGCUCUUGAUCAAAAGAUGUCAAAGAGCUGCUCUUGCCAGAGCAAGCACUGUGCUUUGAUUCUGGGGUAUGCAGAAAGGACAGUUGCUAACCUGGGUAUCAGGAAACUGGCUGCUGCUCCUUUGAACUCUAUCAAAAGCUCAUCAUAUUUACUUCUUCCAAUUAACGAGUGAAUUUAUUAGUGGAGUGAAGGAAGGGCUGGCAGCAAGUUGGAAGCUGGGAAUUUGGCUCACCAGAGCAUUGCCACCCCCAGCCCAAUCGCAGCCUCUCAGCCCCAGGCAGCUGCCAGUAGCCCCGCCGUGGGCUGCUCUCCCCAGGGACAGCCCCUUGCUCCCAAGUCCAUCAGCUUUGACAUGCAGAACAAUGCAGCUGCCAUCAAAUGCCUUCCUCCUGCCAAACGAGGCACGGGAUCAGGUUCCCCCUGUAUCUCUUACCUUCCACCUACAACUUUGAAGGGAUUGUUCUUGAAUGGUAUCUGGAUAUCUCAGAGUGGAAUUUCAUUCUUCUGAGACUUUUAGAAGUAGACCGGGUGAAGAAUUAGCAUGACACAGGGAGCACACGGAGCGGGCUGCGGCACACAGAGCUUCCUGUCACUAUUGUUGGCAAUGCCUGAAAAAGACGUUCUCUGGAACGUGGGAAUUCCCAUGUGAAGCAGUGGUCAGCAUCUGUGCACUUUCCACUCCUUGAAGAACAAAGACAGUUUUCCUUCUUAGCACAACAUAGGCAAAGGCGUACUGAGAUCAGGCCGGCAUCUUCUCACCAAGAGUAGCUAAAAAUAGAUGUCUUUGCAAAGGGCAAAAGAACGCAGGGCCCACACGGUGCAUCCCAGCACAUUCACAGUCCUCAUGGAUACAGCAAACACUGAAGGUGCCGUCAUGCACUCUUGAAGUCCAUGUAACACAUCU
rnacentral:lncRNA from 1 species